rnacentral:rRNA from 1 species
UGAAAUGCAUAGAUAUUACUUAGAACACCAAUUGCGAAGGCAGGUCACUAAGUCUUAACUGACGCUGAUGGACGAAAGCGUGGGGAGCGAACAGGAUUAGAUACCCUGGUAGUCCACGCCGUAAACGAUGAUUACUCGUUUUUGGGUUUUAUGAUUCAGAGACUAAGCGAAAGUGAUAAGUAAUCCACCUGGGGAGUACGUUCGCAAGAAUGAAACUCAAAGGAAUUGACGGGGGCCCGCACAAGCGGUGGAGCAUGUGGUUUAAUUCGAUGAUACGCGAGGAACCUUACCAAGACUUAAAUGGGAAAUGACAGAUUUAGAAAUAGAUCCUUCUUCGGACAUUUUUCAAGGUGCUGCAUGGUUGUCGUCAGCUCGUGCCGUGAGGUGUUAGGUUAAGUCCUGCAACGAGCGCAACCCCUGUCACUAGUUGCUAACAUUAAGUUGAGGACUCUAGUGAGACUGCCUACGCAAGUAGAGAGGAAGGUGGGGAUGACGUCAAAUCAUCACGGCCCUUACGUCUUGGGCCACACACGUGCUACAAUGGCCGGUACAGAGGGCAGCUACCUAGCGAUAGGAUGCAGAUCUCGAAAGCCGGUCUCAGUUCGGAUUGGAGUCUGCAACUCGACUCUAUGAAGCUGGAAUCGCUAGUAAUCGCGCAUCAGCCAUGGCGCGGUGAAUACGUUCCCGGGCCUUGUACACACCGCCCGUCAAGCCAUGGAAGCUGGGGGUACCUGAAGUCGGUGACCGUAAAAGGAGCUGCCUAGGGUAAAACUAGUAACUAGGGCUAAGUCGUAACAAGGUAACCG